AAGCUUCAGACGGAGUGUUGUUGGCUCUGCUAAAUAGUCUCAGGAAGGAACUUGUUUUGGUGGUGCAUUUCCACCCCGCUAAAGAAAACUCCUCAUCCAAUAUUAAAUGAAGUUAACUGUUGACACAAUCCAGUACCGUGAGAUAUUUAAAUUAGCUGAUACAUGGUUAA